GACGAACGCUGGCGGCGUGCUUAACACAUGCAAGUCGAGCGGAAAGGCCCUUCGGGGUACUCGAGCGGCGAACGGGUGAGUAACACGUGAGUAACCUGCCCCAGACUUUGGGAUAACCCUCGGAAACGGGGGCUAAUACCGGAUACGACACAGCUUCGCAUGGGGUCUGUGUGGAAAGUUUUUCGGUUUGGGAUGGGCUCGCGGCCUAUCAGCUUGUUGGUGGGGUGAUGGCCGACCAAGGCGACGACGGGUAGCCGGCCUGAGAGGGCGACCGGCCACACUGGGACUGAGACACGGCCCAGACUCCUACGGGAGGCAGCAGUGGGGAAUAUUGCACAAUGGGCGGAAGCCUGAUGCAGCGACGCCGCGUGAGGGAUGACGGCCUUCGGGUUGUAAAUCUCUUUCAGCAGGGACGAAGCGUAAGUGACGGUACCUGCAGAAGAAGCGCCGGCCAACUACGUG
rnacentral:rRNA from 1 species